GAUGAACGCUAGCGGCAGGCUUAAUACAUGCAAGUCGUGGGGCAGCAUGAGUAGCAAUACUUGAUGGCGACCGGCAAACGGGUGAGGAACACGUACACAACCUUCCUUCAAGCGGGGAAUAGCCCAGAGAAAUUUGGAUUAAUACCCCAUAAUAUAUUUGAUAAGGCAUCUUAUUAAAUAUUAAAGCUUCGGCACUUGAUGAUGGGUGUGCGGCUGAUUAGAUAGUUGGCGGGGUAACGGCCCACCAAGUCUACGAUCAGUAGCUGAUGUGAGAGCAUGAUCAGCCACACGGGCACUGAGACACGGGCCCGACUCCUACGGGAGGCAGCAGUAAGGAUAUUGGACAAUGGACGAAAGUCUGAUCCAGCCAUGCCGCGUGAAGGAUUAAGGUCCUCU
rnacentral:rRNA from 1 species